AAAAGAAACCMACAGGGAUUGCCUUAGUAGCGGCGAGUGAAGCGGCAAAAGCUCAAAUUUGAAAUCUGGCACUUUCAGUGUCCGAGUUGUAAUUUGAAGAAGGUAUCUUUGGGUCUGGCUCUUGUCUAUGUUUCUUGGAACAGAACGUCACAGAGGGUGAGAAUCCCGUGCGAUGAGAUGUCCCAGACCUAUGUAAAGUUCCUUCGAAGAGUCGAGUUGUUUGGGAAUGCAGCUCUAAGUGGGUGGUAAAUUCCAUCUAAAGCUAAAUAUUGGCGAGAGACCGAUAGCGAACAAGUACAGUGAUGGAAAGAUGAAAAGAACUUUGAAAAGAGAGUGAAAAAGUACGUGAAAUUGUUGAAAGGGAAGGGCUUGAGAUCAGACUUGGUAUUUUGUAUGUUACUCUCUCGGGGGUGGCCUCUACAGUUUACCGGGCCAGCAUCAGUUUGAGCGGUAGGAUAAGUGCAAAGAAAUGUGGCACUGCUUCGGUAGUGUGUUAUAGUCUUUGUCGAUACUGCCAGCUUAGACUGAGGACUGCGGCUUCGGCCUAGGAUGUUGGCAUAAUGAUCUUAAGUCGCCC
rnacentral:rRNA from 1 species